UAUAUAUAUAUAUAUAUAUUUAUGUACAUUCCCCUCCUCUUUACUCCUGUUAGUUUGCUUCUUCUGUCCUAGUCCUGGAAAAAUGAAUUAUAUAUUUUAAUUCGUUGUAUUUCCUCUAUUGAUUGUUUAGUUAGUGACUUUGCCAACUUCCUGGAGGUUCAUGUCGGAUUCUGCAAAAGGACUGCAUUUCCUUUUGGAAUGGGGACUGAGAAAGAGAGGCAGCAGAGGCCCGGGUCCACCAGUAAAUUCUCUAUAUAUGCUGAAAGACCAGUGAUGUCACCAUGUGGAUACUUCCUGGAAUGAUGCAGGCGGAAACCCCUCUCUGUCCCAUGGAGAUGGUUUUGUGAGUAACUAUGGUCAGAAAAAGUAAAUUUUGGCAUCUAGCCCUCUGGUGAUGAUUCUUUCCACACUUGACUGGCCUUCAUUUUGAUAUCACACAGCCUGCUUUUGUUGGUCCUUAAGUGUUAUACUUUCAAGAACUUAGAUGACCUCUAAGCAAGGGCAUGUUGAAUGGAGCUGAAUGGAGAGGCUUGGGAGAGCUGAUUGUUAAAAUUUUAGAGUGAAUAUUUUCAUCUCAAGAAUUAACAAAUUUCACAAAUUAGUUAUGACUCCAAUUAUAUGAUUAAUAAAAACUUGAUUUGCCUUUUAGAACUUAAAAAAACCUUUUGAGAGUCAAAUUGGAUGGCCCAAGGAAGAUUGAGAUGAUGUCUUUUUCUCUC
rnacentral:lncRNA from 1 species